UCCAUGUACCAAGAACACUAGGAUAGGCAGAAGAAUUUUGAUAACAAGGAGUCUUUAGGUGAAAAUCAAAUUGUUUGUCAUGGAGUGGGGUUGCACUUCUGGAGAAUUCAAAGGUGUUCUGGUGGCAGAUCUCAAUAGAUGUUGGGAUGAGGUCUUGGACUGUAGUAAGCCACCGAAAAAAGGGUGCUUGAUGGGGAAUGCGGGUCAAUCCGGGGAUUGGGGGAGUCAUUGCAUAUACUAAUGGCAUGAUUAAGAAUGCUUUUUUUUUUUUUUUCUCUAGAUCCUCUGGAGUGGGCGAUUCCAACAGACCUGAAUUACAAGCAAUUAAGACUGGUUUUUCCUUGCCCAAAUCUUAAUUGAACCCAUGGGAACAGCUAAGAGUGACUCCAAGUGCACUCUUCUUUGGGUGGUGGGAGAAUCUCCUAUUCCUUGGAGAAACCUUUUCGUGUAAAUAAGAGCAAGGGGCUGAUGUCAAAAUUUUCUGUUUCUCUUAGCUUAGUGCCCUGUGAGGCCAACUCAUGGGCCGAUGUAUUGGUCAAGGUGGUGUGUUGAGGCAAUAUUUGUAUAUUUGUGACGCUUAUCCAUUAUCUUAAUGGAUGGUGCCCUUGCCUUCUUCUUUUAUUAAAAAACGAAUAAAAGCAUGUAAUUGCUUUCCACAAGGCUUCCUAUAACGGUUGCUCGUUCGAUAUGGAAAAAGGUCUAUGGGUAUGCAAAAGAAAGCUCAUUUUCUCCCUUGAGAUUAUGUUUAUCUUCCUGCAUUCUACUGUUCCAAAUAUCGGCAAUAUUAUUGCCAAUCUUAUUGGUAUCUCCAGGGCAACGAUGCUGAAGCUGCUGAAAAUAUAAAAAUUUCCAAAUAUCGGAUAUUUUCAAUAAUAUCGGUGAUACUUGGUAAUAUUAUUGAUAUCAAUGAUACUGUGAGAAGAAUUCCUUAUAAAAUUUCCCUAGUAUCAGUGAUACCAUCGAUAAUAUACCAAAUACCAGGGAAAUAUCUAUAAAUAGGCAAAUAUUAACAUAAAUUCAGAAAAAUUUCAAAAACCCAAAAAUCUCCAAUUUUUUUUGGAAUAUUCUUUAGAAUUUUGUUCUGUAGGUGAUUUCGAUUGCACUCUUGGUUUUUAUUUUAUAAAAGUUUAUAUUUUGGGAGAAAUCUUGACUCGAAACGAAGAUGGGACGGAACUCAAAGGUGACAAAAAAAUGUAGAAACUUUUUUUUUUUUUCAAAUUCUAGCAUGGUUUGCAAUGGAAAUCCAUGUCUAUGCUUGAUUAUCAUGCAUUAACAUGAAUUUGUGGCAAAAAAAUUAACAUUGAAAUGAAAAUGGGAAAAAUUCUAUUUUUUCUCGUUUUUAUAUUGGAAACUGCGUUAUUCACCGUUACUUAAUGUGGAAUUAUAUAUUAAGAGUGUUGGGAUUGGUCACAAAUUUUAUGUAUUUAUUUUAUACUGAUUUUUUCGACAACACAUGGUUAAGCCUCUAUAAAAUAGAACUUAUUAUGUACAGAUUUUUUUUUUUUUUGUUUUUUUUUUGUUUUUUUUGUUUUUUUUUUUGUUUUUAAAACAAUAUUUUGAUUCCUACAUGUGUAAACAUGGGUCUUUUAAUCUCUUGAAGUUUCACUGAAAAAUUCUAAAGAAAGGUUGAUGCUACGGAGGAUGCCCUUACUCGCUGUUUGGUGGGCUGUUUGGGAGUAACGAAAUGCAAGAUGCUUCUGGAAUGAAAGCAAGUCAGCAGGUUCUACGUCCCAAAGGGUGAGGCUUUUAAUCAUUGAGUGAGCUUCCAUCUCUGAGAAGCUCAAGGGCUGUAAUCUUUCUUUUGUGGGGAUGUAAUUUAGUCGCCUUCUUGGUGGUUUUGGGCUGUUUUUUCUUUUCUUGGUUAAAAAAAAAUUCAGUUAUCUUUCAAAAAAAAAAACAAACUGUCAGCUCCCUCUUUCUUUGGAAUCAAUGCGAUAAAAGAAGUGCCAAAUUCUGCCACCAGCUUGCCUUUCUCUAAAAACUCCCAAAUGAAUGCCACCACAUAAAUGUGGUAGCAGUGAUACCAAUGUUUCCCUCAGGCAGCCAUAUUUUUCUGAGUAUCAGCGAUAAUAUUGGUGAUACCAAUACAUGUUUCUAUAUCCCCGACACACAUGCAAACGCAUAUAUAUUAUGUAUAGUACUACAUAACACACACGCACAAUGCACGUAUGAUAUAUCAUGAUUUCUUGUUCAAAAAUUACCCUGAAUUUUUAGUAUUUCAGUCAGCCCAGGUCUCCAUGUAUUUUUUUUCCCCCCAAAAGGCCCCUUGAGCCAAAGCCUGUCAAGCAUAGCUUCUCUUUCUUUUCCUUUUCCUUUCCUUUUAAGUAGACACUAAAAGCUUAGUAGCAAGCUGCAUUUAUACUGACGCGCAGACAUUCAUUUAGCAAAAUCAUUUUCAUUUCAAUCCUUCCAAUCGUUUUUCGAGCUUCUUCUCAACUGAUUCCUACUGUUGGAGCUCUAACUAUACUUUAGUCUUGGGGAAGAUUCAUUAAGUGCUCUCUCUAAUGCAAGAGCAGACCUGAUUGCUUCCUCGUUCUGACUUUUAACUUGUUCUAUACUCUCUAUUGCUUGCUUCUUUUACAAGCCAAACAAAUACACACAAAAAGAAAACAAGGAGAAGGAUAAUAGUAGUUUCUUCAUACCAGACAAUGAUUGCUGAGCUCGUUCUCCUUGAAAAAUCAGGUAGCAACUAGUCAAAAGGCAUUGGAUAGUGCUGGCGGAGAUGCAGAAGUGGCUAUGUUGCUUAGAUAUGAUGUGGAUAUUGAAACUGAUAAAGUAGUCAGAUUUUCAGUGUGCCUUUGGAUUCUGAAUUGACAUUCUUCUUGGAGGACUUUGGCGCCGCCAUCAUUCAUUAAAAAUGUCUUCUCCAGUGAUUGAAUGCUUUGUGCCCCUCGGUGGAUUUCCUUCACUUCCGUUCUCGGCCUGAGUUUUGUCAAGUGUAUUUUCCAGUUGACUUGAUGAGUGAGUCCAGUUAAAGAGGUGAGUUUUGCAAUGACUAGGCUCAAAAUCUUGCCAAGUCGGUUGAUUCGGAUGAGUUUCAAGUGAGUUAGCUAGUUUUAGAACUAUGGUGCUAACCUGUUCUUACCCUAUUUGAAUAUGUAAGACUAUGGUCAUUGAAUUGCGGUC